CAGAACAAUGCGGGAGUUGCAGAGAGAGGUGUCCUGUGUUUGUUCCCAGUCUUCCUUCACUCACCUGCACCUGCUCCUGCCCUGCUUCGGCCAACAUGUUCUAUGCAGCUGCUCACUGAUGUCACUUAGAGGAAGGCAGGGGCACAAGAUGGGAGGACCCAGAGCUCCGGGUUCUUAAGCAGCAGAGUUCAUAUCAAGGGCCCAUGUUUUAACUGAAUAUAAUGAAUUUUUUUUUUCACCUUGGAAGAGUCUUAGAGGCAAGAUUAGAAUGUUCAUCUAAAAGGAGUGCAAAUUUCUUCAACCAUUCCCACGGAGGAAGGUCUACUCUGUGAAAAGGAAAUGAUCAUACAUAAUUCAUGCAUUUGCUGUACGGAUUUAAUUAAAUGAUAGACAAAAAGUAGAGUGGCACAAGUCAAACUCAAAAAAUAGUAACAACAAAAUCAAUUUCAAAAUAAGCAACAGCAAUAAAUGUUACCUACUAUUUUACGAAUGAAAAUACUGAGACCAAUAAAGGCAUUAUAGUAUACAUAGCCUUGGAAUCAGAAGACCAAGAACAUACAAGAGAACAUAGCCUUGGAAUCAGAAGACCAAGAAACAAUUUAACUCUGCCCCUCUAGAGCUCUGAGAACUUGGGCAAGCCUUUUACCCUCUUGAAUUUUUGCCACCUUCAAUGAGAAAGACUGAAACAAAAAACUCAGAAGAAAGAAAGAGACUGAGAUAGCAAAUAUGACAAACUGUUAAAAAUUCAUGAAUCUGUUAUGGAAUACUAUGCAGCCAUAAAAAAGGAUGAGUUCCUGUCCUUUGCAAGGACGUGUAUGAAGCUGGAAACCAUCAUUCUGAGCAAACUAAAACAGGAACAGAAAACCAAACACCACAUGUUCUCACUCAUAAGUGGGAGUUGAACAAUGAGAACACAUGGACACGGCGGGGUGGUGGGAACAUCACACACCGGGGCCUGUCAGAGGGGAGGGGGCUAGGGGAGAGAUAGCAUUAGGAGAAAUACCUAAUGUAGAUGAUGGGUUGAUGGGUGCAGCAAACCACCAUGGCAUGUGUAUACCUAUGUAACAAACCUGCAUGUUCUGCACAUGUAUCCCAGAACUUAAAGUAUAAUAAUAAAAAGAGAGAUUAAAAAAAUUGGUGAAUCUGGGCAAAAUGUACACAGGAUUUUUCUGUACUGUUCUUGCAACUUUUCUACAGAUUUGAAAUGUUACAAAAUAAAAGGUAUUUUUAGAAAAAGAGUA
rnacentral:lncRNA from 1 species